rnacentral:rRNA from 1 species
GUGGGGAAUCUUGCGCAAUGGGCGAAAGCCUGACGCAGCCAUGCCGCGUGAAUGAUGAAGGUCUUAGGAUUGUAAAAUUCUUUCACCGGGGGCGAUAAUGACGGUACCCGGAGAAGAAGCCCCGGCUAACUUCGUGUCAGCAGCCGCGGUAAUACGAAGGGGGCUAGCGUUGUUCGGAAUUACUGGGCGUAAAGGGCGCGUAGGCGGAUCGUUAAGUCAGGGGUGAAAUCCCAGAGCUCAACUCUGGAACUGCCCUUGGUACUGGAGAUCUUGAGUGUGAGAGAGGUAUGUGGAACUCCGAGUGUAGAGGUGAAAUUCGUAGAUAUUCGGAAGAACACCAGUGGCGAAGGCGACAUACUGGCUCAUUACUGACGCUGAGGCGCGAAAGCGUGGGGAGCAAACAGGAUUAGAAACCCGAGUAGUCC